GGUGUUGGGGUGAUGAGAACCCAAGGGGGGCGGGGCAGGGGCUGGGUCAGGUGUCCGGGUGGCUUCUCCCUCUGCCCCAGCCCCUCUCAGACGUCCCCAGUGUGGCCAGAGUGAGCAGGAACAGCUGGCAGGGUCAGAGCACCGGGCUCUGGGAGGGUCCAGGACCCUGGCUCUGGCCCACAGGGCCCACAGCUGACCUGGCAGCCUGGGAAGGUCAGGGCCACAGGGUUCGCUCGUCCCACCUGCCCACCUCUCAGCCGUCACCGGGCCUGUGACACAGCCGCGUGGAACACAGGUCCCCGGCCCACCAUGGCCCUCCUGGGCCAUUCCUCGCAUCUCCCAGCCCCGAGAUAUAGGGGAGGCUCUGGGCAGGCUGCUGGAUCCCAUAUAGCCGCGGGAAAAUGGGAGCUGCACGGACAGGCCAGGAUUCCCGGGGCUGGCGGCCAAACAGGGGCUGGCACAGGCCACGCAGCCACGAGGGGGGACCCCAGUGCCCCCGAUGAGGGGAGCCAUGUCUGACACUGCCCUGGGGACAGGAAGGCGCAUGCUUGGGGAUGCUGGAAGCGGGCUGACUCUGGCGCCCCAACACUGGCUCAUCUGUUGCCCUCCUGGUGUUUGCCUGGGACUUUGAGCUCAGUUUUCUGUCUGAUCAGACUGUGCACUUUGGGGAGGCACAGGUGGUGCUCAAGGUGCUGGAGCGCAGCCAGGGAGCCCUCAUGGGGACUUCCCAGGGCUGCAUUCACGAGGCAAGUGUGCCCUACCUCGGUAACAAAGGUUGUUCCUGCAGCCCCCCCCGUAGCUGGGCGGGCACUCGGAGCAGGGCCUGCCGGUCCUGUACGGGGCCUCUCCAAUCCAAGCUCACCCCACUCCCAGGCAAGGGGCGUGAGGCGGAGGGGAGACAUCCCUGGUGAAGCUGAUUUUGUUGGGCCCCUGGGCAGGCAAGCAGGUCCCGACCCACGCCCGCGGCCCUCACUUGGGAGAAUAGUUGCAGACCAGGUAGACGGCGUUCUCCCAGAUCUCCCCCCAGACGUCUAUCCUGUGGCAGGUGUGCACGGCGCAGCCAACCUUGUUGGUGGUGGCCCAGACGAUCUGCAAAGAACAUUCGGGGGUCACAGCUCAAGGGACAGGGCACCCCGGAUGACGCAAGGUGGUCCGGAU
rnacentral:lncRNA from 1 species